rnacentral:misc_RNA from 1 species
GCGCGGCCGGUGUGGAGCACGACGGGCGGGGCAUUGGCGUCGACGAGUGGCUGCGGACGUCGAACCGCCGUAUCUAUGCGGCCGGCGACGUGUGCUCGCAGUUCAAAUUCACGCAUGUGGCCGACGCCAUGGCACGCAUCGUCGUGCAGAACGCGUUCUUUCCGCGUCGGCGUCGCGUCAGCGCCCUCGCGAUUCCCUGGUCGACGUUCACGUUUCCCGAGGUGGCACACGUCGGUCUGACUCCCGUUGACGCCGUGAAGAGCGGCGCCGAACCGGUGACCGUCCCACUCGCCGACGUCGAUCGCGCCGUCAUCGACGGCGAAGGCGAGGGGUUCGUCCGGAUCCAUCACGAGCGCGGGCGCAUUGUCGCGGCGACGAUCGUAGCUCCGCGGGCGGGAGAGCUGAUCGGCUAUGUGUCGUCCAUGAUGCGGCGUGGCGCGGCGCUCUCAGAGCUCUCCGCCGAAGUGUUCCCAUAUCCGACACUGAGCGAAACGCUGCGGAGAGCCGGCGACGCGUACCGGCGCACGCAGCUCACGCCACGGAUUCGCCGGUUGCUCCAGUACUAUUUCGCGCUGACGCGACGUCUGUAGUCGAAGGAGAACGCCUCGAACGUUCGGAACGCCCGAACCAUCCGAACGCCCCGAACCUUCAUUGCAUUAUCCUGUCCGUAUGCUGGCGCUGGUGUUCGGCGCGCUCGCUUCCGCGGUUCAACCGGGAUGCACGCCCGAGGCAAUGAUGCUGCUGCGUCGGGCGGAGGUCGCGGCCGCGGAAUUCAAUCUGGACGGCGCAGUGACGCUACUGGGCGCGGACGCCGCACGCGCGUGCGAGGACGCGCAUGUCGCGUGGCUGUAUGCCCGCGGCCUCGUCGAUGCGCAGGCAGCCUUUCGCCAGGGGGCGCCACCCGAGGCGCUGGCCCCCGUACGGGAGGGGAUUGCGUCGCUCGAGGCGAUUGCGAAGGGACGCCCGGGCACCGCGGCCAUCGCGCGAAUGAUCCUGCAGGCUGCUGCCGCUGCCGCGCAGAGCGAGCGCGACGAGAUGCGCCUGUAUCUGGAAUCGGCGCUCCAGAUGGAAGCGCUGCAGCGCGCCGCAGGUCAGCAGGGUGCGCCGCUCGUCAGCGCCGCGGAAGUCGCCGGCGAUCUCUGGCUGCAGGUACACCGGUAUGACGACGCCCGCCAGGCGUAUCGCGAGGCGGCGGGGCAGCUGGGUUUCACCGCUCGCAUCCUCGCAGGGCUGGCGCGUUCGGCCCGUCGCCUGGACGACACAUCUGCCGCAUGCGCGGCGUUCCGAAGGCUGCUCGAUGUCUGGGGGGCGCGUCCCGGAGCACCCAUCGAAUUGUCCGAGGCGCGGGCGUUCGUUGCCGGCUGCCCGGCCGGCCCCUAGCGGCCCGCCUCCGCCAUGGAGUACCGCUACAAGCCCGACGUGCUGCAACUGCUCGCGGCGCACGGCGUGCGGCCGACGCCAUCAACAUCCCCAGAGAAGGUCCGUGAGUUCCUGAACGACCUGUACCGCUACGAGCUGCGUCGUCUGCGCGAUCGGCUUCUCCGGCGUGAGAUCCGAAAGCCGGACUAUUACGCCCACGUGGUCCAGGUUCGGACCCGGUACCGGCUGCUCUCGCUCAAGACCCACCAAUGGACGGACUGACGGGUAAACUACUGACAGUGUCGUACGUCCAGGCCAUUCAGU